rnacentral:rRNA from 1 species
GCCAGACUCCUACGGGAGGCAGCAGUGGGGGAUAUUGCACAAUGGGGGAAACCCUGAUGCAGCGACGCCGCGUGAGUGAAGAAGUAUUUCGGUAUGUAAAGCUCUCUCAGCAGGGAAGAAAAAAGACGGUACCUGACUAAGAAGCCCCGGCUAACUACGUGCCAGCAGCCGCGGUAAUACGUAGGGGGCAAGCGUUAUCCGGAUUUACUGGGUGUAAAAGGAGCGUAGACGGCAAUACAAGUCGGAGGUGAAAUACCCGGGCUCAACCUGGGAACUGCUUUGGAAACUGUAUGGCUGGAGUGCUGGAGAGGUAAGCGGAAUUCCUAGUGUAGCGGUGAAAUGCGUAGAUAUUAGGAGGAACACCAGUGGCGAAGGCGGCUUACUGGACAGUAACUGACGUUGAGGCUCGAAAGCGUGGGGAGCAAACAGGAUUAGAUACCCGAGUA